rnacentral:misc_RNA from 1 species
UGCCUGUUCGAGCGUCAUUAAUACCAAUCCCUUCGGGGGUCUUGGGGUUCACCGUCUGGUGGCCCUUAAAAUCAGUGGCGGUGCCUCUCGGCUCUAAGCGUAGUAAUUCUUCUCGCUAUAGUCCCCGGGAGAACACUUGCCAUAACCCCCACACUUUUAAGGUUGACCUCGGAUCAGGUAGGGAUACCCGCUGAACUUAA